GAAACAGGGUGCUUACAAGAGAGAAUAAUGGACAAGGUGGGGGAGCUAUAGAUAGGUUGUGAGAUUAAGGAAAGGAAGAACUGCUUGACCUGAGACCUGGAAGCAGAGAACAUAGAAACUUUGUAACAGCAGAGAAGAGAGUGAUCCAGACAGAGGGAACAUCACGUGCAAAGGCCCUGCAGCUGCCCAGGGCUUCCUCAGCUACUGCAGUUGGCUUCUAGAAUCCCUCCUUUUCAUUGUGGACAAAAAAUGGCGUAUGCCAUUCAAUGGAGAUUACUGAAACCAGUGCUUUAUAACCACCUCCUCCAUCCUGACCCUUUGGGGGUGUGCCAAGGGACAGCUGCAAAACCAGUCAUGCACCUUUCUGCCCUCAGCUAUUGGAGCACCUUUCUCUUCCUGUGAACUGCAUCACCUUGUGGACCCAGCUCCUCAGCAUCAGCCCCGCUUGGUUCUCCCCCGGGCCCUCUCUCCUUCCUGCUCUGUUUCCUUUCUUGGACUAGCACGGAACUUGAUCCCUGAGCAGGAUCUGCAGAUGUUCUCUGUAAAGGAAGACAGGAAAGAUUUUAGGCUCUGCGGGCCGUGUGGUCUCUGUUUCCACUACUCCAUGCUGCUCUUGCAGUGAAAGCAGCCACAGACAAUAUAUUGUUCUAUGGGACACAACAAACACAGAACUGGCCUAAAAUUGAGAAAUUUGAGCUUGAACCUUCGAUCAGCUGUUUAUUAAUUUUCUGACUCCUGGGUGCAUAGCUGGGAGGUGAGAACCACGAGGCCCUGCACUAAGUGAGGUCAUUCCCUUUGGUAUCCAGAAACGAGAAACUGGUCCCACCUGUGGAGACGUAGAGACCACAAAUAGUUUUCCUCUGCAUGGAGCAAGCGACAAAAUAAGGAGCGGACAAACAGAUGUGAUAGUAAAGAAUACACGCUGAAGGGAGUGUUUUCACAGUGUCUGAUGAAGGGGAAGAGGCCGCCUUCCCCAACACUGAGCUGAUGGAGACCCAGCCGGGGUGGGAGUCACCUCCUCAGGAAGCCCUAGGCAGUCUCUCCUGCUCCAUGGCUCCUGAGCUGCACCAUGGUUCGGUUUCCCCAGUGCACACUGAGCUGCUGAGUCCUCCUGUCUGGGGCUAGAGCAGCCUCCACGAUGCAGCUUCCUCCAUCCCAGGCAACCCCAAGGCUGUCCGGUCUUGAGCCCACGCCCCUGCGAGAGACAAGGGGAAGCCCAAGGGUCAGCAAGAGCCCUGCCUCAGGGCAGUGGUCCCUUUUCACAGACAAGAAGGAGCAGCCAUCUUCCCUGCAGUUCCACCCCCUCCCAAUGACCACAAAAAAGCAAAGAAAACCUUUAUCCAAGGGUGCUGUGGACCCAGCAGGCUGGCGGAACUAGGGUCACACCCGGCCUGGAGGAGAACAGUUCUCGGGACACUCACCAGGGUCUCCACCAUGUUGGACUUGUUGUUCCGCAGCGUUUUCACGAUGUGGAACACAUCAAUGAUGUUCUGCUGCUGGAUCAUCUCACACACGCUGCAGAUGGCACAGAAGGUCCCGCUGCGGCCUCCCCCAUUUCUAAACACAGAGGGAAGGAGCUGGAACCAGAAUGGAAAAGCCAGGAGGAGGGAGGAUGAAGGAGAGAGAAAGCGCAUGUCUCCAAACGUCCUAGCUGUGCAACCCAAAUUCCGGCUCAGGGAUAACAUUGGUCACAUGAUAGGCCACACCUGGCCAGCACCCGGUUCUAGAAAGUGGGCCGACCCUUGCACUGUCAGCUUGUUCUGGGAAUAAAGGAGAUGGCGCACGUGAACAAACAGGCAUGGCAUAAGCACCCACUGAAUCCCAGCGAUUCACAGUAUUAUUGAACCUAUCACUGCUCCACGAAAAUAACAAUUAUGAUAAUGCCUCACAUUUAAAGCUGAAGGAUUCUUCUUAUCACCUGUCUCAAAUAGCAAAGACCUAACGAACGGUGGUUGCUUUCCUUGCACCUCCACUGGGGGUGAAUCCAGCAUACUAAUGUGUGUGGGUGGCUGUCACGGGGCCCUGUGGCUGGGCAGGAACGACCAAACCACAAUUUGACCUUCAUUUCUCUUUGCCAUUGGCUCUC